rnacentral:rRNA from 1 species
UACGAAGGGGGCUAGCGUUGCUCGGAAUCACUGGGCGUAAAGCGCACGUAGGCGGCCUCUUAAGUCGGUGGUGAAAUCCUGGAGCUCAACUCCAGAACUGCCUUUGAUACUGGAGAGCUUGAGUCCGGGAGAGGUGAGUGGAACUGCGAGUGUAGAGGUGAAAUUCGUAGAUAUUCGCAAGAACACCAGUGGCGAAGGCGGCUCACUGGCCCGGUACUGACGCUGAGGUGCGAAAGCGUGGGGAGCAAACAGG